rnacentral:lncRNA from 1 species
GUUUCUGGCUCUGGAGUCUGGCCCCAGCUGUGCCACUGACUCAGUCGCUGUGAGUGAGAGCCUUGGGCAGGCCUCAGCCCUGUUUCCCUUCAGCGUUUGCACAUGGACAACGGGGAAGCCCCCUGCUCUGCCUGCCUCAGGAGCACGGGGACAAGUAAAGGUGCUGACUCCUGGUUUCAAAGAGUCUGCCAUUAUCAGCAGGAGCAAGCACUUUCCAAGCAUCUCCAGGGGCAGGGACUUGGGCUAAGCCCUGGGAAUACGGAAGAACAUCAGACUGCCUCCAGACAUAGUCUCGUCCUCGGACUGGAAGGAAUACAGACAGGGAAGAAGGGAGACAAGGAGAAAGACCUUCUUUGGUGUACCGCUUUACAAUUUAUCAUGUGUUUUCACUUUUUCAGUUACUCUUUAAAAUUUGUUUACAGGGGAUGGGAUGGAAUCUCAGAGAAGCCAAGCACUUUGUCUGAGGUCACAAAGCCUAGGAAGACCAGGCCUCAGGGUAACCUGAUUUUAAAUUCAAGGUAAUUUCUUCUUGUUGCCCUUCUGUGAUCACCAGGAAACCCCUACUGAGGUAGGUAGGAAGUGCAGAUAUCAUCAGUGCCUUUGCUACCCACUAGCACCCUGCCUGGAUUAUUAUAGGAGGGCCCAAGAGAAGAGGAGAAACAGUGGAACAGAGAGGUCUUUUCUUUUUUUAAAUAAGUUUUGGAGAUUUUUAAAAAAGAUUUUAUUUAUUUAUUUGAGAGAGAGUGAGCACAUAAGCAGAGGGAGGGGCAGAGGCAGAGGGAGAAGCAUGCUCCCCACUGAGCAAGGAGCCUGAUGCGGGACUGGAUCCCAGGGCCCUGGGAUCGUGACCUAAGCCGAAGGCAGAUGCCCAACCGACUGAGACACCCAGGUGCCCCCAGGUCUUUUCUUUUGGAACUAAAAUUUUUAUUUUGCCCUAGGUUCCUAUGCAGUUGUAAGAUACAGCACACAGAGAGAAGAAGUACCCUUUAUCCAAGUUUUCCCAAUGGUGGCAUCUUGCAAAACUAUAGCCCAUAGUCACAGCCAGGGUGUGGACAUCAGUAUGGCCAAGGUACAGAAUGUCUCCAUGCCCCCACAUAUCCCUCCUCCCUCCGGUUGCAUUUUUACAGCCACACCCACUUCCCUCCCACCUCACCCCUCCUCCUCUGCCCUGGCGGACGGCUAAUCUGUUCUCCAUUCUUCUAAUUCUGUCAUUUCAAGGUUAUCCGAGCAAAAUCAGACCAUGUAACCUUUGGCUUUUUUCGCUCACGCGAGUUUUCUGGGAGUUCAUCUGGGCUGUUGAAUGGGUCAAGACUUCAUUCCUUUUUGCUGCUGAGGGGUUUUCUGUGGUAUGGACAUAUGCUGAACCUGUGGGAGGACAUCUGGGCCCAUUCUGGCUUUUGGCUCUUAUGAAUAAAGCUGCUGCAAACAUUUGC